rnacentral:rRNA from 1 species
GACGAACGCUAGCGACAGGCCUAACACAUGCAAGUCGAACGGAGUUUACAUGUGAGCGGAGGGUGCUUGCAUCUAACAAUCUUUUGUAAACUUAGUGGCGGACGGGUGAGUAACGCGUGGGUAACCUGCCGUAUACAGGGGGACAACAGUUGGAAACGACUGCUAAUACCGCAUAAGCGCACAGGACCGCAUGGUCUGGUGUGAAAAACUCCGGUGGUAUACGAUGGACCCGCGUCUGAUUAGCUAGUUGGUGAGGUAACGGCCCACCAAGGCGACGAUCAGUAGCCGGCCUGAGAGGGUGAACGGCCACAUUGGGACUGAGACACGGCCCAAACUCCUACGGGAGGCAGCAGUGGGGAAUAUUGCACAAUGGGGGAAACCCUGAUGCAGCGACGCCGCGUGAGCGAUGAAGUAUUUCGGUAUGUAAAGCUCUAUCAGCAGGGAAGAGUAAAUGACGGUACCUGACUAAGAAGCCCCGGCUAACUACGUGCCAGCAGCCG